UCUCCGUUGGUGAACCAGCGGAGGGAUCAUUACCGAGUUUACAACUCCCAAACCCCUGUGAACAUACCAUUUGUUGCCUCGGCGGUGCCUGCUUCGGCAGCCCGCCAGAGGACCCAAACCCUUGAUUUUAUACAGUAUCUUCUGAGUAAAUGAUUAAAUAAAUCAAAACAUUCAACAACGGAUCUCUUGGUUCUG
rnacentral:misc_RNA from 1 species